GCAAAUGAUACAAUUUUUAUAUAUAAACGAUAGCAAUUCGAACUAGAAUCAGUUUGUUUUAUACCUCACAGAACAGACAGUUACAUUAAAAUGUUUAAAUCUCUGUUGAUCUUUGCCCUUUUGGCCGUUGCUUUCGUAGCAGCUAAACCUGAUCCAUCUCCAAUUGUGUACUCAUCUUACUCAUCUGCAGCGUAUCCAUAUGCGUAUUCUGCCCCAUAUGCUGGAUACUCUUUCGCAGGUUUUCCAUCCCUUGGCUAUGGUGCUGGACUGUACGGAUAUUAUUAAAUCAACAAAAAGUUACCAAUCUGUAAAUGUUUCCUAUACAUUUGAUUUAUAUUUCAUUGGAUGUUGAAUAAAUUCUAUUUGUAAAAAAUUA